UCCUCGAUAAAGAAGGAGACCUUAACCUGAUAAAUAGCCCGUAUUGCUUUGGCAGUACGCUGUCUUAUUAGAGGGACUAUCGGCUCAAGCCGAGGGAAGUGAGAGGCAAUAACAUGUGUGAGACCCCUAGAGAUUUUGGGGGCCGCACGCGCGACACACUGACGGAGCCAGCGAGUACUUCCUUGGCCGGAAGGUCCGGGUAAUCUUGUUAAACUCUGUCGUGCUGGGGAUAGAGCAUUGCAAUUAUUGCUCUUCAACGAGGAAUCCCUAGUAAGCG
rnacentral:rRNA from 1 species